GGGCCGUUAGCUCAGCUGGUAGAGCGUUUCUAUGGCAUAGAAAAGGUCACCGGUUCAAAUCCGGUACGGUCCACCA
rnacentral:tRNA from 5 species